UGAUCCAGGAACAAAGCUUGAUCCAUUAUGUGGGACAUAAAAAAAUGGACAAAAGGGAGCAGCUGGAGCAAGAUGGACCCCUCUUCUGUCCCUACUCCUGAUUGGAGCAGCUGCAGCAAAUCAAAAGCAGGGAUUCCUCAUUCCCACUGAGCAAUGGCAAUUUUUCUCCUCUUCCCAUCUCACCUCUGUUCAAACAGCACAGAAGAAGAAAAGCACUUAAUGCAUAUCUGGUAGCUGGAAUGCAGCACUGUAUACUGCAUUCCAAGGGAAGAGAGGUGUUAAACUUCACUGCAGGUUAAAUGGAUUUUCACUAUUAGAGAAUUCAAAGUCCACAGAAGUGAACUGAAGAAAUUCUGGACUUUCACUCCUUUUCAACAUAUUAUAAUCAAGGUCACUAAUAGUGGGUUCCACUAUAUACACAACAGAGAUAAGGAAGGACCUAAAACACUGUGGCUCUAUGCAGAGGCAUCUAUUAGAAAAUGGAACAGCCUCACUGUUUAAGAGGAUGAUCUCCUUGAUUAUAGGAGGGAACAUCCAUGUAAAGUUAUAAUUAGAUAUAAUACCGCCUUAGGCCAUGAGUGAGCUUGGCGGCUCUCAAAAGCAGGGUUUAUCUGUACUUGGAUGGUUAAAACCCAGUGUUCUUUAAAAAGUCGUUUGAGUGAUUCAGUAGGUGGCACUCUUCCCCUCAGAGUCAGUGCUGACUCCAUUGCAUAACAUUAGGGGGUACUCUGUUUUUGGAGGUUGUCUUUCAAUGAAAAAUACAAGAGCUAAAGGCAGGCCUGUUGGCCCCAUGCUUCUCUCCAAAUAUCAAUUUAACUACAUUCUGCCUACAAGAGUUCCCCCUGCAGUUUCAGAUAGGUAGAAUCAUAGAAUAUCAGGGUUGGAAGGGACCUCAGGAGGUCAUCUAGUCCAACCCCCUGCUCAAAGCAGGACCAAUCCCCAACUAAAUUAUCCCAGCCAGGGCUUUGUCAAGCCUGACCUUAAAAACCUCUAAGGAAGGAGAUUCCACCACCUCCCUGGGUAACCCGUUCCAGUGCUUCACUACCCUCCUAGUGA
rnacentral:lncRNA from 1 species